GGGUGCACCAGGCGCGAAAACUUUACAAUGCUGGAAACAGCGAUAAGGGGACCUCGAGUGCCAGGUUACAAAUCUGGCUGUCGUGAUGCCUAAAAAGCAUUGCAUAGCAAGGGCCGGGCAAGACCGGUGCCAGCCGCCGCGGUAACACCGGCGGCUCGAGUGGUAACCGUUAUUAUUGGGUCUAAAGGGUCUGUAGCCGGCCGGAUAAGUCUCUUGGGAAAUCCAGCAGCUCAACUGUUGGGCUUUCAGGAGAUACUGUCUGGCUCGAGGCCGGGAGAGGUGAGAGGUACUUCAGGGGUAGGGGUGAAAUCUUGUAAUCCUUGAAGGACCACCAGUGGCGAAGGCGUCUCACCAGAACGGACCUGACGGCAAGGGACGAAAGCUAGGGGCACGAACCGGAUUAGAUACCCGGGUAGUCCUAGCCGUAAACGAUACCCGCUAGGUGUCGGCCACGGUGCGACCGUUGUCGGUGCCGUAGGGAAGCCGUGAGGCGAGCCACCUGGGAAGUACGGCCGCAAGGCUGAAACUUAAAGGAAUUGGCGGGGGAGCACAAGGGCGAAUGC
rnacentral:rRNA from 1 species